rnacentral:rRNA from 1 species
CGUCAGCUCGUGUCGUGAGAUGUUCGGUUAAGUCCGCUAACGAGCGCAACCCUCGUCGUGUGUUAUACGUGUCACACGAUACUGCCGGUAUCAAGCCGGAGGAAGGUGGGGAUGAUGUCAAGUCAGCAUGGCCUUUAUAUCCUGGGCUACACACACGCUACAAUGGCAGAUACAAUAGGUUGCGAAACCGCGAGGUGGAGCCAAUCCUCAAAGUCUGUCUCAGUUCAGAUUGUAGGCUGCAACUCGCCUGCAUGAAGUUGGAGUUGCUAGUAAACGCAGGUCAGCUAUACUGCGUUGAAUACGUUCCCGGGCCUU